rnacentral:rRNA from 1 species
AGAGUUUGAUCCUGGCUCAGAACGUACGCUGGCGGCACGCCUAACACAUGCAAGUCGAACGAAGUAGCAAUACUUAGUGGCGAACGGGUGAGUAUAAUGUAGGUAUCUGCCUUUUGGUUUGGAAUAACACGAAGAAAUUUGUGCUAAUACCGGAUAAGCCCUUACGGGGAAAGUUUUAACGCCGAAAGAUGAGCCUGCACUUGAUUAGCUAGUUGGUAAGGUAAUGGCUUACCAAGGCUACGAUCAAUAGCUGAUCUGAGAGGAUGAUCAGCCACAUUGGGACUGAGACACGGCCCAAACUCCUACGGGAGGCAGCAGUGGGGAAUUUUGCACAAUGGGGGAAACCCUGAUGCAGCGAUGCCGCGUGAGUGAAGAAGGCCUUUGGGUUGUAAAGCUCUUUCGUCGGGGAAGAAAAUGACUGUACCCGAAUAAGAAGGUCCGGCUAACUUCGUGCCAGCAGCCGCAGUAAUACGAAGGGACCUAGCGUAGUUCGGAAUUACUGGGCUUAAAGAGCUCGUAGGUGGUUAGAAAAGUUGGUGGUGAAAUCCCAAGGCUUAACCUUGGAACUGCCAUCAAAACUUUUUGACUAGAGUAUGAUAGAGGAAAGUGGAAUUUCUAGUGUAGAGGUGAAAUUCGUAGAUAUUAGAAAGAACACCAAUUGCGAAGGCAACUUUCUGGAUCAUUACUGACACUGAGGAGCGAAAGCAUGGGUAGCGAAGAGGAUUAGAUACCCUCG